GGGCAGUUUCCACGACUUAGAGAGCAUUUCUGAUUCUGCACACGCGAGAGGUCGUAGGUUCAAGUCCUAUACCGCCCACCA
rnacentral:tRNA from 1 species